CGAGGAUUCCCCUAGUAACGGCGAGUGAACGGGGAAAAGCCCAGCGCUGAAUCCUUCGGCCACUGGUCGCUAGGAAUUGUAGCGUAUAGGUGCGGCUGUCCGCUCGUUUCGCUCACCCAAAGUCCCCUUGAGCGGGGCUAUAGUCCAAAGAAGGUGCUAGACCUGUACGGGUGGCGAAGCGUUUGGUUGGCUGCUCCUUGGAGUCGGGUUGCCUGGGAUCGCAGCCCAAAGUUGGUGGUAGACCUCAUCUAAGGCUAAAUAAGGCCACGAAACCGAUAGCAAACAAGUACCGUGAGGGAAAGUUGCAAAGAACUUUGAAGAGAGAGUUCAAGAGGGCGUGAAACCGCUGAGAUGGAAACGGAUAGAGUUAACGGAACUCAGCUGCAUUCAUCCAAUCGGCCUAGCGGCCCGUUGGCUUUGGCAUCCUCGAUGAGGGCAGAGCUGUCGGUGACUGUUGGGUAAUUGAUUGGUGUAUUUGCGGCUGGUAUGCGUCGAGAGCCUUGUGAUCGCAUGUUGAUAGGCGUGCAGUGGACCAUUCCUUCCGGGAGUGGAACCCUUCACGUUUGGAGGCAUGUCGGUUGUAAGGUUUGCAAGUGCCGUCUCCGCUAUGGUGCGUCGGCUUUUUCGGGCUAUUGUUGCUACCGGGUGAUCGCUUGCGACUGCCUGUAGUGAAUAAUGGCAAGGGAAAGUGCGGACGCGCUGAGAUGUGUUUCUCGGUGUGAACGUUGACCACCUAUCCGA
rnacentral:rRNA from 1 species